AAUCAACGCUGGCGGCGUGCCUCAGACAUGCAAGUCGAACGAUUAAGACUUCCUUCGGGAAGUGCAUAAAGUGGCGCACGGGUGAGUAACACGCAAGUAAUCUACCCUCGAGUGGGGAAUAACGUUCGGAAACGAACGCUAAUACCGCAUAACGCAGCGGCACCGCAAGGUGACAGUUGUUAAAGGAGCAAUCCGCUUGAGGAGGAGCUUGCGGCAGAUUAGCUAGUUGGUAAGGUAAUGGCUUACCAAGGCUACGAUCUGUAUCCGGUCUAAGAGGACGGUCGGACACACUGACACUGAAUAACGGGUCAGACUCCUACGGGAGGCAGCAGUCGGGAAUUUUGGGCAAUGGGCGAAAGCCUGACCCAGCAACGCCGCGUGAAGGAUGAAGUAUUUCGGUAUGUAAACUUCGAAAGAAUAGGAAGAAUAAAUGACGGUACUAUUUAUAAGCUCCGGCUAACUACGUGCCAGCAGCCGCGGUAAUACGUAGGGAGCAAGCGUUGUUCGGAUUUACUGGGCGUAAAGGGCGCGUAGGCGGCGCGGUAAGUCACUUGUGAAAUCUCUGAGCUUAACUCAGAACGGCCAAGUGAUACUGCAGUGCUAGAGUGCAGAAAGGGCAAUCGGAAUUCUUGGUGUAGCGGUGAAAUGCGUAGAUAUCAAGAGGAACACCUGAGGCGAAGGCGGGUUGCUAGGCUGACACUGACGCUGAAGCGCGAAAGCCAGGGGAGCAAACGGGAUUGGAUACCCCGGUAGUCCUGGCCCUAACGAUGAAUACUUGGUGUCUGGAGUUUUCAUACUCCCGGUGCCGUCGCUAACGUUUUUAGUAUUCCGCCUGGGGAAGUACGCUCGCAA
rnacentral:rRNA from 1 species